UACGUAGGGUGCAAGCGUUGUCCGGAAUUAUUGGGCGUAAAGAGCUCGUAGGCGGUUUGUCGCGUCUGCUGUGAAAACCCGAGGCUCAACCUCGGGCCUGCAGUGGGUACGGGCAGACUAGAGUGCGGUAGGGGAGAUUGGAAUUCCUGGUGUAGCGGUGGAAUGCGCAGAUAUCAGGAGGAACACCGGUGGCGAAGGCGGUUCUCUGGGCAUGUCCUGACGCUGAGGAGCGAAAGCGUGGGUAGCGAACAGG
rnacentral:rRNA from 1 species